rnacentral:rRNA from 1 species
UACGAAGGGGGCUAGCGUUGCUCGGAAUCACUGGGCGUAAAGCGCACGUAGGCGGCUUUCUAAGUCAGGGGUGAAAUCCUGGAGCUCAACUCCAGAACUGCCUUUGAUACUGGAGAGCUCGAGUCCGGAAGAGGUGAGUGGAACUCCGAGUGUAGAGGUGAAAUUCGUAGAUAUUCGGAAGAACACCAGUGGCGAAGGCGGCUCACUGGUCCGGUACUGACGCUGAGGCACGAAAGCGUGGGGAGCAAACAGG